UCCGAGUUGACCCCGGCAGUCUCAUUAGAGUGCCCUUUCGUAGCAACUAAGGACAAGGGUUGCGCUCGUUGCGGGACUUAACCCAACAUCUCACGACACGAGCUGACGACGGCCAUGCAGCACCUGUGUUCCGAUUCCCGAAGGCACUCCCGCAUCUCUGCAGGAUUCCGGACAUGUCAAGGCCAGGUAAGGUUCUUCGCGUUGCAUCGAAUUAAACCACAUAAUCCACCGCUUGUGCGGGCCCCCGUCAAUUCCUUUGAGUUUCAACCUUGCGGCCGUACUCCCCAGGCGGUCAACUUCACGCGUUAGCUUCGUUACUGAACAGCAAGCCGUCCAACAACCAGUUGACAUCGUUUAGGGCGUGGACUAC
rnacentral:misc_RNA from 1 species